CCCCCGUGUUGUUGCCGUGGUGAUAGUUGCUGUGGGCGUGGCCUGGCGUGAGGGGAGGCGCUUAAAGGCUCGGAGGCGCUGCCGAAGACGUUUGAAUUGAGGAAAGGUGAAUCCAGGUGCCACAUUGGCUACACUCGAUCAUGGGCCGACCAGCAAAAGGUUUUUGGCAGUAGCAGGUGAUUAAAUCCCAAGAAUCGUCGCCUAAAAAUAUUAAAAAGUGAAUUAAAAUGUUAUAAAAGUUAUCAGGGGAUGGGAAAAAU
rnacentral:lncRNA from 1 species